AGAAUCAACGCUGGCGGCGCGCUUAACACAUGCAAGUCGAGCGAGAAAGUGGAGCAAUCCAUGAGUAAAGCGGCGUACGGGUGAGUAACACGUGGGUAAUCUACCUCUUUGUGGGGAAUAACAAUGGGAAACCGUUGCUAAUACCGCAUAAGCCUGAGAAGGGAAAGCAGCAAUGCGCUGAGAGAGGAGCCCGCGGCCGAUUAGCUAGUUGGUGAGGUAAUGGCUCACCAAGGCUUAGAUCGGUAGCCGGCCUGAGAGGGCACACGGCCACACUGGCACUGAAACACGGGCCAGACUCCUACGGGAGGCAGCAGUGGGGAAUCUUGCACAAUGGGGGCAACCCUGAUGCAGCGACGCCGCGUGAGCGAUGAAGCCCUUCGGGGUGUAAAGCUCUUUCGGCAGGGAAGAUAAUGACGGUACCUGCAGAAGCAGCUGCGGCUAACUACGUGCCAGCAGCCGCGGU
rnacentral:rRNA from 1 species